GAGUCUGUUAAGGUUAACCGAGAACUGCUAAUUCCUCGAUUCCAUGGUUCAACUCCACGGCUUACUCA
rnacentral:tRNA from 1 species